AUUAGAACAGGAUGACUCUCGGUUGACAAAGAUUUUUUAGGGACAGCCCUACAAUCAGUCUUACCCUUGCUCUACUCAAAGGGCUGUAUUGGGAUGGCUUCAUACAGUAUCUACGUGUAUAUCAUUGACUGUAUUGUAUUUUUAGACCAAGAGGACCGAGAGAAACAAAGUGGGGCAGAUCACUGAUACAGAUGCAGGUCCCUCUACAUCUGUGGAAUUUUCUGGGAUGACAGUUCAGGGGACAUCUCACCAGGGACAAUCUAAUGAAAAGAUCCUAAGUGAGUGUGUCUCCAGGGCCUGUCAGACCAGGGCUCUUGACCUCCCGCCAAUCGAUCCGGAUGCUUUCAACCCGAUUAUCAUCCGGUUUCUGGAAAAACUUACUGAGGAGCAAUGGAGGCAGUUAAGCAUUGGCAGGAUGGACCCUGUGAUGAGGGCAUUGCUUGCAGAGAUGUGCCUGGAGAUUGUGCGGUUUGUAUCUGAGGCCAUCCUGGAGGUCAUCAUCCCUGCAAUUUUCCGUUUUGUACGGAUAUACAGCCAUGGGUCUCCAGUAUCCGGCAAGUCUCUGACAGAAUCAGAGAGAUCCUCUAGCACAAACCUGAAGGUUCGCAAGAGAGGCAGCAGCAAAUCCUCAAGGUCUUGCACGGCCAAAUCAAGCUCCUCUCGUAAUGGGUAUGUUCAGUCAUUCCUAAAGAAACCGGUUUCACCUAACUAUUCAUAAC
ensembl:lncRNA